AUGAAGAGUUUGAUCCUGGCUCAGGAUGAACGCUAGCGGCAGGCUUAACACAUGCAAGUCGAGGGGUAACAGGGAGCUUGCUCCGCUGACGACCGGCGCACGGGUGCGCACCGCGUAUGGAACCUACCUUUUACAGGGGAAUAGCCCAGGGAAACUUGGAUUAAUGCCCCAUGGUAUCGUUAUAUCGCAUGAUAUUACGAUUAAAGAUUUAUCGGACAGGGAUGGCCAUGCGUACCAUUAGUUAGUUGGUGGGGUAACGGCCCACCAAGGCAGCGAUGGUUAGGGGCCCUGAGAGGGGGAUCCCCCACACUGGUACUGAGA
rnacentral:rRNA from 11 species